GGCGCUCCCACCUGCGCCCCCACAGCACCCCUCCGAGCCCCCCACCAGGCGGUUCCCACUGCCCAGCCCGCUCCUCAAAGGGGGAAAGUCUGCAGAGGCGGACUCGACAAGGAAGCAGGCGGCCCCAGCCCGGGCCCCGAGGGCAGGUGAGCAGGUGGUCCAUCCCGGGCAGGGGAUUCCUGCCCCCUCCUGGCCUCACCUGGCUGCGCUGGGGCCCGAGGAGGCCGGCCCCGUGGAGCCCACCUGCCUCCAUCCCGGUCGCUCUGCGUCCCGCUGACCCACCUGGAGCCUGCCGGCCUCACUGUAAUUGGCAAGGCAGCGGGAGCACGGGAUAUUUUUAAUAAAAAUUAGGUACAAGCAGAUACAGGGGAUUAAUAGUUGUAUUAUGAUUUUAUAGUUCUCCACAUACAGCGGCGUGGAGGAGACAAUCAGAGCAGAGCCAUUUCAGGCGGAUAAAAUGGGGCAUUUAUUUUUAAUGGAAAGAGAAUUUCAGGACUCACCCAGCCGUGGAAGGAGAGCUGCUGACGGCCCUCACCGGGUGGAACAAAGACAAGGCUGGAGGUGUGCGGCGUCCCCCAGGAGCCCCCCGCCCGGCAGAGCAGCUGCCAUUCAGACACAAGGAGCCCCAGCCCAGAGGGGACCCUGGGAAAUGCUGGUCCCUUUGCCCUGCCGUCCCCCUCUGACCCGAAUGCCAGCUCCGCCUGCCAGGCCCAUGUGGGGCUCAGCCCUGCACCCCAAAUCAGCAGCAUGGGAUCCAUGCUUUGGCUUUUCACCCUGAGACCCCAGAGCAGGAUGUAGGGGGUGCAGGGGUGAGAAGCAGGGUGGCCCCUCCCCCCCCGGGACUCCUCCCUGGGGCAGGGUCGAGCCAGGCUGGACUCAAUGCUCACCGGGCCUCUUACAGCCCCCACAUCACCCCACCCUUCUGCCUCCCCGACCCCCGCUCUGCCUCUGAUUCCAGCCAUGGGCUUCCAAGGCCGCAGAGCUCUGGACCCAGAACCCAGGAGGGCAGGGAGGGGGCACUGACCCCGUCUCUUGUCUGUGUUC
rnacentral:lncRNA from 12 species